rnacentral:rRNA from 1 species
AACGAACGCUGGCGGCAUGCCUAACACAUGCAAGUCGAACGAGACCUCCGGGUCUUUUGGCGCACGGGUGCGUAACGCGUGGGAACCUGCCCUUAGGUUCGGAAUACCUCCCCGAAAGGGGUGCUAAUACCGGAUAAUGUCUUCGGACCAAAGAUUUAUUGCGUUUGGAUGGGCCCGCGUUGGAUUAGCUAGUUGGUAGGGUAAAAGCCUACCAAGGCGACGAUUCAUAGCUGGUCUGAGAGGAUGAGCAGCCACACUGGGACUGAGACACGGCCCAGACUCCUACGGGAUGGAGCAGUGGGGAAUAGUGGACAAUGGGCGAAGGGCUGAUCCAGCAAGGCCGGGUGAGUGAUGAAGGCCUUAGGGUUGUAAAGCUCUUUUACCCGGGAUGAUAAUGACGGUACCGGGAGAAUAAGCGCCGGCUAACUACGUG